rnacentral:lncRNA from 1 species
AAUAUGCGAGUUCUUAUACUCCCAUAAUGUCUUAGACUCUGCACUGUGGAUUGAGGAUAACACCGUAAACAAGAGACCUGGUCCCUGCCCUUCUGGAGUCUACUAUCUCACAGUCCCUGAAUUUGGCUGCCUAUUCCCCAGACCCCCUCAACCAAGACUCUGUGGCAGGAUCUAUUCAACUCUCACAAAGAGUCGGUGGAGGAGCACAAGACCCGAUGGAAAGGACCAACUGGC